rnacentral:rRNA from 1 species
AAAGGAAUAGACGGGGGCCCGCACAAGCAGUGGAGUAUGUGGUUUAAUUCGACGCAACGCGAAGAACCUUACCAGGGCUUGACAUGUACAUGACCGGUAUAGAGAUAUACCCUUUUCUUCGGAAACAUGUAUACAGGUGGUGCAUGGUUGUCGUCAGCUCGUGUCGUGAGAUGUUGGGUUAAGUCCCGCAACGAGCGCAACCCCUAUGUUUAGUUACUACCAUUAAGUUGAGGACUUUAAACAGACUGCCAGUGAUAAACUGGAGGAAGGUGGGGACGACGUCAAAUCAUCAUGCCCCUUAUGUCCUGGGCUACACACGUACUACAAUGGGGAAACCAGAAGGAAGCGAAGAAGCGAUUUGGAGCCAAACCUAAAAGUUCCCCUCAGUUCGAAUUGCAGAUUGAAACUCAUCUGCAUGAAGUCGGAAUUGCUAGUAAUGGCAGGUCAUCAUACUGCCGUGAAUACGUUCCCGGGCCUUGUACACACCGCCCGU